CAAACUUUGUUACUGCUGGAUUUAAAACAAUGGAAAGACACUGAAGCGAAAUGUUUCGUUUCUUUGCAAACGAAAAUGUUUACUCAUUAUCUAUUUCAUAGAGGAAUAAUGAGUUGUGCAAUGUUAGUACCUUUGUAAACAUAUUUGGAGUAUUAUACCACAGACUCGAUUAUUGAAUAUCCAUGGGAGGAUCAAUUUCAAGAGCCAGCUUCUCUAAAGGAAAAGUUAAAUUUUGCAGCACUAAAUCUCUCACUGGUAAAACAGUAAUCAUAACAGGUGCAAACACAGGUGUAGGCUUUCAAACAGCACUUGACCUAGCUCGAAGAAAUGGAAGAAUAAUCUUGGCAUGUAGAAAUGACGAAAAGGGAGAGGUGGCUAAAAGUAAAAUUAUUCAGCUGACAGGGAAUACAAAUGUCAUUUACAGACAACUUGAUUUAAGUUUGAUGUCAUCAGUCCGAGCUUUUGUCAGUGUAAUUAACAGCGAAGAGAAAGCAGUAGACAUUCUCAUUAACAAUGCAGGUGUUGUCAAUUGGGAAGAAAAUAUAACAGCAGAGGGUGUGGAGAACACAUUUGCAACAAAUUACUAUGGACCAUUCCUCCUGACGACCCUACUUCUUGAGCUGCUGAAGAAAUCUUCUGAUGGUCGCAUUGUGAAUGUCGGCUCCAUUGCCAGUUUGGCCGGCUCCGUAGAUAAUGAUACAGUGAUGGCCAGGAGAAAAUUCACCAGGACAGAGUAUAAUGACUCUAAGCUGGCACUGCUUCUGUUUACAAAGGAACUGGCCAGGAAAAUUACAGAUACUGACACCUGUAGAGGGUGCCCAGCCGGUUCUGUUUUGUGCCCUGGAUGACUCUGUCCAGACGGGGGGCUACUACAUGGACUGUGCUCGGUAUGAUCAUACCAUGUGGGUCCCCAAGUGUGUGUAUGACGAGGAGCUGGCCAAAAAACUGUGGGAAUCAACUGAGAGAAUUGUUACUGCUUGUGGGGAAAGAUAACAAAGAGAGAUUUGUCUAGUAUUCAAAUGGAUUGUGUUUGUCCCUGAUGAGGAACUGUGGACAGUGGUUCUAUCAAACACUGAAUGAAACAUUGACUUGGUUAUAAUAAACAAACUUUUAUAGAUGACUUUAUGAAUAGCAUGACAGGCAGAUCAGGAUCACAUCUUCACAUAUCUUACUUGGUGAGGUUGUACACCUAUUAAUUCUAGCUGACUGCUCUUAUGAAGUUUAAUGGUACCAACUGGUUAGUGAUUAAUGUUUUUUGGAUGAUGUUUGAGUCAAUUUUAUUAAAUUUACCAGUACUUAUAAUAGUUUAGAACCACAUGCAUCUUUUGUAGCUACACCAAUAUUCUGAAAUCAAAAAAUAAAUCUUGAAUCUGGUCU
rnacentral:misc_RNA from 1 species